GCACCCUCUUCGGGUCUACUCGGACAAGCUUCGGAAAAUCCAGCGCCCCUCGGGGUCGGCUGCACUCGUGCACGUUCAUUUACUGUCAUUUACUGCAAGUAAAUAAACAUGCAGUCACCAAAUGUGGGAGGCGACUUCGGUGACUUAGGGAGACAUCAGGCAGACAGUUCCCCACCCAGGGGCUUUCUAACCACGGCUUGGUGAUUACCAGCCUCAACACUCUGGGGGCUGGGAACCUAGCCCCAAGCCCAAACAUUCGUGACAUACGCUUUCGUCAUUAAUCCCAAGAGGGAGGAGGUCUGUUGUUUUAUGUUACUGUUUUUAUGGAUGUCUUGAAGUCAUCACAGGUCAUUCUAAACAGCGACCUCAGAUGUACCUACUGCCCAGGAGGGCACAAACAGAAGACAAACAGUCUUUAAGUAUAAGUGCCCUUGAUAGUUUAACCUGAGGAGAAUCACUCAAACAUUAAUUAGAAGACUGAGAUUAGUCAGUUAACAGUUCAGGGAGUUAACAUGUUUAACAAUGGAACAAUUAAAACUGUUAGCAUAACCCAGAGUCUGAUAAAGUACCUAGAAAGGUAAAUUGGGAGAGUUUUGAAGAUUGAGGACCGGUGUCUAUACCUAAUAGGACCACCCAUCUGAGCCUCUUAUUUCUAGUUCUGUCUUUCUAGCCCACAUCAUAAAACACGAAUAAAACGAUUAUUUUAAAUACCAAUUAUUAUGUCUGUUAAGGUAAGCCUUUCACCAACUGUCACCCUUUUCUUGUACCCGUCAUGUGGGGUGUCACCUGAAAGGCUUAUCCUGGUCUUUCUCUCCUAGCACCUGGUACCAGGUAGAAGAGAGAGAAGAGAGGAAGUGGAAGACAUGAACGGGAAAAGAGUACACCUACUCUAUUGCAAGUCGUUGACAUCCAGUGAAAGCUAAGAUACAGGAGUUUGUGAAUGUACCAAAAUAUACGAGGACCAGCCAUUCAGAUGCUGAAGACCCAGAAGAGUUUCUUGGUUUUCACUGCAAAGGAUCUUGAAGUACUUUACAGACAUUACUUAAUUGAAUUUCCCAGAAUGCCAAGGAAAUGUUUCCAAAUACAAUUUUUUGUGCGUUUUGCAGACAGUUGAACUGACAGGGUGGCAGGACUUGUCCUGGCUUGAAGAAAAGCUGUGAGCAAAAACAAAGAACUAUCAUGUAUUUAUUAUGGCUAGAAACACACCACAAAUCUUCCUUGACUUAUAUCCUAAUAAAGCCGUCCUUAAUUGAAAA